rnacentral:rRNA from 1 species
GACGAACGCUGGCGGCGUGCUUAACACAUGCAAGUCGAACGGUAAGGCCCUUCGGGGUACACGAGUGGCGAACGGGUGAGUAACACGUGGGUGAUCUGCCCUGCACUUCGGGAUAAGCCUGGGAAACUGGGUCUAAUACCGGAUAGGACCCUGGGAUGCAUGUCCUGGGGUGGAAAGCUUUUGCGGUGUGGGAUGGGCCCGCGGCCUAUCAGCUUGUUGGUGGGGUGAUGGCCUACCAAGGCGACGACGGGUAGCCGGCCUGAGCGGGUGACCGGCCAAACUGGGACUGAGAUACGGCCCAGACUCCUACGGGAGGCAGCAGUGGGGAAUAUUGCACAAUGGGGGCAAGCCUGAUGCAGCGACGCCGCGUGAGGGAUGACGGCCUUCGGGUUGUAAACCUCUUUCAGCACCGACGAAGCGCAAGUGACGGUAGGUGCAGAAGAAGGACCGGCCAACUACGUGCCAGCCGCCGCCGUAA